rnacentral:lncRNA from 1 species
AACAUGUUGGAUCACCAAAUUCACCUUUGGAAGGUCAUUCUCCAAACGCACCCAAUGAAAAUGGUUCGUCGUUCCUACCACAUUCUCCAUCAUCGUCACCUGGUCAAGAAGAAAGUGUGGAGAGUCCUUCAGGUUCCGCUAGGGAAACACCUACAAACGAAGCAAGUUUCAUUGGAAGAUCACCAAAUAAUGAAGAUCAUUUGAAAACAUCAAGUGGGGCUCCUUCGUCAACACCUACAAUUGGAAAAUCAAUUCCAUCGUUGGAACCACAACAAGAAGACAUGGCAUCUCCUCAACCAGUUUCUUCUCGACUAACACCGACAAAUAAUGAAAAUCGUGUGAAACGAAAGGGUCAAACAACAACUCAACAUGUUGGAUCACCAAAGACACCUUCGGAAGGUCAUUCUCCAAACGCACCCAAUGAAAAUGUUUCGUCGUUCCUACCACAUUCUCCAUCAUCGUCACCUGGUCAAGAAGAAAGUGUGGAGAGUCCUUUAGGUUCCGCUAGGGAAACACCUACAAACGAAGCAAGUUUCAUUGGAAGAUCACCAAAUAAUGAAGAUCAUUUGAAAAUAUCAAGUGGGGCUCCUUCUUCAACACCUACAAUUGGAAAAUCAAUUCCAUCGUUGGAACCACAACAAGAAGACAUGGCAUCUCCUCAACCAGUUUCUUCUCGACUAACACCGACAAAUAAUGAAAAUCGUGUGAAACGAAAGGGUGAAACAACAACUCAACAUGUUGGAUCACCAAAGACACCUUCGGAAGGUCAUUCUCCAAACGCAGCCAAUGAAAAUGGAUCGUCGUUCCUACCACAUUCUCCAUCAUCGUCACCUGGUCAAGAAGAAAGUGUGGAGAGUCCUUUAGGUUCCGCUAGGGAAACACCUACAAACGAAGCAAGUUUCAUUGGAAGAUCACCAAAUAAUGAAGAUCAUUUGAAAACAUCAAGUGGGGCUCCUUCUUCAACACCUACAAUUGGAAAAUCAAUUCCAUCGUUGGAACCACAACAAGAAGACAUGGCAUCUCCACAAACAGGAUCUCCUCGACUAACACCGACAGAUAAUAAAAAUCAUGUGAAACGAAAGGGUCAAACAACAACGCAACAUGUUAGAUCACCAAAUUCACCUUUGGAAGGUCAUUCUCCAAACGCACCCAAUGAAAAUGGUUCGUCGUUCCUACCACAUUCUCCAUCAUCGUCACCUGGUCAAGAAGAAAGUGUGGAGAGUCCUUCAGGUUCCGCUAGGGAAACACCUACAAACGAAGCAAGUUUCAUUGGAAGAUCACCAAAUAAUGAAGUACAUUUGAAAACAUCAAGUGGGGUUCCUUCGUCAACACCUACAAUUGGAAAAUCAAUUCCAUCGUUGGAACCACAACAAGAAGACAUGGCAUCUCCUCAACCAGUUUCUUCUCGACUAACACCGACAAAUAAUGAAAAUCGUGUGAAACGAAAGGGUGAAACGACAACGCAACAUGUUGGAUCACCAAAUUCACCUUUGGAAGGUCAUUCUCCAAACGCACCCAAUGAAAAUGGUUCGUCGUUCCAACCACAUUCUCCAUCAUCGUCACCUGGUCAAGAAGAAAGUGUGGAGAGUCCUUCAGGUUCCGCUAGGGAAACACCUACAAACGAAGCAAGUUUCAUUGGAAGAUCACCAAAUAAUAAUGAAGAUCAUUUGAAAACAUCAAGUGGGGCUCCUUCGUCAACACCUACAAUUGGUAAAUCAAUUCCAUCGUUGGAACCACAACAAGAAGACAUGGCAUCUCCACAAACAGGAUCUCCUCGACGAACACCGACAGAUAAUAAAAAUCAUGUGAAACGAAAGGGUCAAACAACAACGCAACAUGUUAGAUCACCAAAUUCACCUUUGGAAGGUCAUUCUCCAAACGCACCCAAUGAAAAUGGUUCGUCGUUCCUACCACAUUCUCCAUCAUCGUCACCUGGUCAAGAAGAAAGUGUGGAGAGUCCUUCAGGUUCCGCUAGGGAAACACCUACAAACGAAGCAAGUUUCAUUGGAAGAUCACCAAAUAAUGAAGAUCAUUUGAAAACAUCAAGUGGGGCUCCUUCGUCAACACCUACAAUUGGAAAAUCAAUUCCAUCGUUGGAACCACAACAAGAAGACAUGGCAUCUCCUCAACCAGUUUCUUCUCGACUAACCCCGACAAAUAAUGAAAAUCGUGUGAAACGAAAGGGUGAAACAACAACUCAACAUGUUGGAUCACCAAAGACACCUUUGGAAGGUCAUUCUCCAAACGCACCCAAUGAAAAUGGAUCGUCGUUCCUACCACAUUCUCCAUCAUCGUCACCUGGUCAAGAAGAAAGUGUGGAGAGUCCUUCAGGUUCCGCUAGGGAAACACCUACAAACGAAGCAAGUUUCAUUGGAAGAUCACCAAAUAAUAAUGAAGAUCAUUUGAAAAUAUCAAGUGAGGCUCCUUCGUCAACACCUACAAUUGGUAAAUCAAUUCCAUCGUUGGAACCACAACAAGAAGACAUGGCAUCUCCACAAACAGGAUCUCCUCGACUAACACCGACAGAUAAUGAAAAUCAUGUGAAACGAAAGGGUCAAACAACAACGCAACAUGUUGGAUCACCAAAGACACCUUUGGAAGGUCAUUCUCCAAACGCACCCAAUGAAAAUGGAUUGUCGUUCCUACCACAUUCUCCAUCAUCGUCACCUGGUCAAGAAGAAAGUGUGGAGAGUCCUUCAGGUUCCGCUAGGGAAACACCAACAAACGAAGCAAGUUUCAUUGGAAGAUCACCAAAUAAUGAAGAUCAUUUGAAAACAUCAAGUGGGGCUCCUUCGUCAACACCUACAAUUGGAAAAUCAAUUCCAUCGUUGGAACCACAACAAGAAGACAUGGCAUCUCCUCAACCAGUUUCUUCUCGACUAACACCGACAAAUAAUGAAAAUCGUGUGAAACGAAAGGGUGAAACAACAACUCAACAUGUUGGAUCACCAAAUUCACCUUUGGAAGGUCAUUCUCCAAACGCACCCAAUGAAAAUGGUUCGUCGUUCCAACCACAUUCUCCAUCAUCGUCACCUGGUCAAGAAGAAAGUGUGGAGAGUCCUUUAGGUUCCGCUAGGGAAACACCUACAAACGAAGCAAGUUUCAUUGGAAGAUCACCAAAUAAUGAAGAUCAUUUGAAAACAUCAAGUGGGGCUCCUUCGUCAACACCUACAAUUGGUAAAUCAAUUCCAUCGUUAGAACCACAACAAGAAGACAUGGCAUCUCCACAAACAGGAUCUCCUCGACUAACACCGACAGAUAAUAAAAAUCAUGUGAAACGAAAGGGUCAAACAACAACGCAACAUGUUAGAUCACCAAAUUCACCUUUGGAAGGUCAUUCUCCAAACGCACCCAAUGAAAAUGGUUCGUCGUUCCUACCACAUUCACCAUCAUCGUCACCUGGUCAAGAAGAAAGUGUGGAGAGUCCUUCAGGUUCCGCUAGGGAAACACCUACAAACGAAGCAAGUUUCAUUGGAAGAUCACCAAAUAAUAAUGAAGAUCAUUUGAAAACAUCAAGUGAGGCUCCUUCGUCAACACCUACAAUUGGUAAAUCAAUUCCAUCGUUGGAACCACAACAAGAAGACAUGGCAUCUCCACAAACAGGAUCUCCUCGACUAACACCGACAGAUAAUAAAAAUCAUGUGAAACGAAAGGGUCAAACAACAACGCAACAUGUUAGAUCACCAAAUUCACCUUUGGAAGGUCAUUCUCCAAACGCACCCAAUGAAAAUGGUUCGUCGUUCCUACCACAUUCUCCACCAUCGUCACCUGAUCAUGAAGAAAUUGUGGAGAGUCCUUCAGGUUCUGCUAGGGAAACACCUACAAACGAAGCAAGUUUCAUUAGAAGAUCACCAAAUAAUGAAGAUCAUUUGAAAACAUCAAGUGGGGCUCCUUCGUCAACACCUACAAUUGGUAAAUCAAUUCCAUCGUUGGAACCAAAACAAGAAGACAUGGCAUCUCCUCAAACAGGAUCUCCUCUGCCAACACCGACAAAUAAAGAAAAACGUGUGAAACGAAAGGGUCAAACGACAACGCAACAUGUUGGAUCACGAAAUUCACCUUUGGAAGGUGAUUCUCCAAACGCACCCAAUGAAAAUGGUUCGUCGUUUCAACCACAUUCUCCAUCAUCGUCACCUGACCAUGAAGAAAGUGUGGAGAGUCCUUCAGGUUUUGGUAGGGAAACACCUACAAACGAAGCAAGUUUCAUUGGAAGAUCACCAAAUAAUGAAGUUCAUUUGAAAACAUCAAGUGGGGCUCCUUCGUCAACACCUACAAUUGGACAAUCAAUUCCAUCGUUGGAACCACAACAAGAAGAUAUGGCAUCUCCACAACCAGUUUCUUCUCGACUAACACCGACAAAUAAUGAAAAUCGUGUGAAACGAAAGGGUCAAAUAACAACUCAACAUGUUGGAUCACCAAAGACACCUUUGAAAGGUCAUUCUCCAAACGCACCCAAUGAAAAUGGUUCGUCGUUCCAACCACAUUCUCCAUCAUCGUCACCUGACCACGAAGAAAGUGUGGAAAGUCCUUCAGGUUUUGGUAGGGAAACAAGUACAAACGAAGCAAGUUUAAUUGGAAGAUCACCAAAUAAUGAAGAUCAUUUGAAAACAUCAAGUGGGGCUCCUUCGUCAACACCUACAAUUGGAAAAUCAAUUCCAUCAUUGGAACCCCAACAAGAAGACAUGACAUCUCCACAUAUCGGAUCUCCUCGACCAACACCGACAAGCAAUGAAAAUCGUGUGAAACGAAAGGGUCAAACAACAACGCAACAUGUUGGAUCACCAAAGACAUCUUUCGAAGGUCAUUCUCCAAAUGCACCCAGUGAAAAUGGUAAAUCCUUCCAACCAAAGACACCUUUGGAAGGACAUUCUCCAAAUGCACCCAAUGAAAAUGGUUCGUCGUUCCAACCACAUUCUCCUUCAUCGUCACCUGAUCACGAAGAAAGUGAGGAGAGUCCUUCAGGUUCUGCUAGUGGAACACCUACAAAUGAAGCAAGUUCCAUUGGAAGAUCUCCAAAUAAUGAAGAUCAUUUGAAAACAUCAAUUGAGGCUCCUUCGUCAAAACCUACAAUUGGUAAAUGGAUUCCAUCGUUGGAACCACAACAAGAAGACAUGACAUUUCCACAAACCGGAUCUCCUCGACUAACACCUACAAAUAAUGAAAAUCGUGUGAAACGAAAGGGUCAAACAACAACGCAACAUGUUGGAUCACCAAAGACACCUUUGGAAGGUCGUUCUCCAAAUGUACCCAAUGAAAAUGGUUCGUUGUUCCAACCACAUUCUCCAUCAUUGUCACCUGACCACGAAAAAAGUGUGGAAAGUCCUUCAGGUUUUGCUAGGGAAACCCCUACAAAUGAAGCAAGUUUUAUUGGAAGAUCACCAAAUAAUGAAGUAC